GAUGUGGUGGCUCAAUGGUAGAGCUUUCGACUCCAGUCUUCUCGGUUGUAAUCGAAGGGUUGCAGGUUCAAUUCCUGUCCAUGUCA
rfam:Yarrowia lipolytica strain CLIB122 chromosome A complete sequence.